GACGAACGCUGGCGGCGUGCCUAACACAUGCAAGUCGAGCGAUGAAGCCUUCGGGUGGAUUAGCGGCGGACGGGUGAGUAACACGUGGGUAACCUGCCUCAAAGAGGGGGAUAGCCUCCCGAAAGGGAGAUUAAUACCGCAUAACGUACGAAAUUCGCAUGAAUUUCGUGCCAAAGGAGUAAUCCGCUUUGAGAUGGACCCGCGGCGCAUUAGCUAGUUGGUGAGGUAACGGCUCACCAAGGCGACGAUGCGUAGCCGACCUGAGAGGGUGAUCGGCCACAUUGGAACUGAGACACGGUCCAGACUCCUACGGGAGGCAGCAGUGGGGAAUAUUGCACAAUGGGGGAAACCCUGAUGCAGCAACGCCGCGUGAGUGAUGAAGGCCUUCGGGUUGUAAAGCUCUGUCUUCGGGGACGAAAUGACGGUACCCGAGGAGGAAGCCACGGCUAACUACGUGCCAGCCGCCGCCGUAAAAC
rnacentral:rRNA from 1 species